rnacentral:lncRNA from 1 species
GCCCUGGCUUAAAUAAUACCUUGAAUGGUUUUACAGCUAUAGAGUUGCUGAGAAUCGACAUCUUUUGCGAACGUUUCAAAGGGGCGAGUGCAUUUCUAUUUCUUUCCUUGUUGUCGUGUUCUCUCUUAAUGAGCUCCCUCCUAGCACUUGCUGAACAACUCAACAGCUACUUGCAGCCACUGUUUUCUCUCUUGCAUCCAAUGCCGCUAAUCAAGCCACUUACGCUCCUAGACUCGACAGCAAAUCAUUUCAGCAAUUACUACCCAAGAACAAUAAAAUGCUACUGUUUUUUUCCCCUGGUGUCAUUAGCGUGUCCCAGACAUUGUGUUCUCCUGCUUUGACGUGCAGUAAUAGUCCCGUCCAAAUGCAUUGCCCGCCGCAUUGCAGCUUCCCAGCUGUGCCAGCUUCCUAGCCACAAUGGCUUCUCCCUCCUCGGAGACGCUGUUAAUUUUCAAUUGGAGCCCUCCAAUCCGCUCCUGCUACUUGGGGAGUUGCUGUUUAGCCUGUGAUUUGCCUAAUUUAGUAUUCUAAUUACUGAAUUGGCUGGGCAGCCAUCUGUCUGCUACGUGAAGUUCCUUGCAGCCCCAUUCCGAGUAUGAGGCCAGUGAAGUUGUAGGGAAUACUGAAGACCCAUUUAGUCUCUGUAAGGAAAACAAACCUUUGGAGCAUUGUCAACAAAUCCAGAAAGGGUGGCUUCCUCUUAAGUUUCAGGAGCUCUUGACCUUUCUUCUGGGCUCAGGUUGGUCAAAUUGUCUCUGUCUUCUGCACAGGGUGCCCACCAUCACAUUGCCAAAAAGGAGAAUUUGUUCCUGGUAAAAGAGGACAAAAGAGGGGAAGAUUUGCAUAUAAUUUGCAUAUGCUAAUGUAUAUGUAUACAUGCAUAUUUCAAUGUAAUUACUGUAAUUUAAACAUCGUUCAGCCCUGACACUGAGGUCCAGCACCAAGGGCCUUUUGGUGGUUCUCACACUACAAGAAGUGAAGCUACAGGGAACCAGGCAGAGGGCCUUCUCAGUAGUGGCACCCACCCUGUGGAACACCCUCCCAUCAGAUGCCAAGGAGAUGAGUAACUAUAUAACCUUUAGAAGACAUCUGAAGGCAGCCCUGUAUAGGGAAGCUUUUUAAUGUGUAAUGCUUUAUUAUGAUUUUAUAUAUGUUGGAAGGUGCCCAGAGUGGCAGGGGAAACCCAGUCAGGUGGGUGGCAUAAUAUUGUAGUUCUUAUUCAAUAGUAAAUAAUAACAACAACAGCAACAACAACAACAAGUCAAAAGCCAAACCAUUGGCACUUUCAAAGUGCUCAGUAUUAAAAGCAUGUAUUUGUCUGGCACUGGAAUCUACGGUACUUGGAUCCCACUGACUUCACAAGGUAUCCUAUAUUUGAAGCUGUAUAUAUCAAAGUGCAGUUAGGGCCAGCCUUUGUGAUGCCCUGAAUGGAGUUCCAUUCUGUCUUUGGCUGUUGAGUCUUCAUCCCUGAACUCUGUAGUCUUCUUACCACUGCUGCAACUAUCAUUGAAGAUCCAUGGAAGUCCAGAUUAGUCUCUUCCAGUUGCCAGGUGCUUCUUGGAAGCAAUCCUCAUUUGCCUUCUUCAGCCCUCUGCUCAGCUCCUCUGUAGAGCUAGCACUUGGAAGCAAGUGCUCCACUUGCCCAAUGGCUGGGCCAGCUGUGGCAUUUAGAUAUUGUAGCAAUGGAAACUCGGAAUGAGAUGUUGGGAAAUUAAAAUAAAACCUCAGUGUUAUGAAAACUAACCAAAUGAUUCAGG